rnacentral:lncRNA from 1 species
CCCAUUCAUCUACAAGAUUAUGAUAACCAUGUACUUCAUGAAAUCCCUAACUUAUUGUAUUAUGGAUUGUUGAUAUUAGUCAUGUAUUCAAGAAUGUCAUGCCUUGUUAGUUCCCUUCUAUCAAGUCCUAGGGUACUUGUACCCGAUAAUUUUAGUUGUGUGCCUAGAUCCAGUGUCAAGUUUUCAUGAUAUCCUCAGUCAAGCCAU